rnacentral:rRNA from 1 species
AUUGAACGCUGGCGGCAGGCCUAACACAUGCAAGUCGAGCGGAUGAAGGGAGCUUGCUCCUGGAUUCAGCGGCGGACGGGUGAGUAAUGCCUAGGAAUCUGCCUGGUAGUGGGGGAUAACGUCCGGAAACGGGCGCUAAUACCGCAUACGUCCUGAGGGAGAAAGUGGGGGAUCUUCGGACCUCACGCUAUCAGAUGAGCCUAGGUCGGAUUAGCUAGUUGGUGGGGUAAAGGCUACCAAGGCGACGAUCCGUAACUGGUCUGAGAGGAUGAUCAGUCACACUGGAACUGAGACACGGUCCAGACUCCUACGGGAGGCAGCAGUGGGGAAUAUUGGACAAUGGGCGAAAGCCUGAUCCAGCCAUGCCGCGUGUGUGAAGAAGGUCUUCGGAUUGUAAAGCACUUUAAGUUGGGAGGAAGGGCAGUAAGUUAAUACCUUGCUGUUUUGACGUUACCAACAGAAUAGCACCGGCUAAUU